UACGUAGGCAGCAAGCGUUGUUCGGAGUUACUGGGCGUAAAGGGUGCGUAGGCGGCUUCUUAAGUCUGGUGUGAAAUCUCCCGGCUCAACUGGGAGGGUGCGCCGGAUACUGAGGGGCUAGAGUGUGGGAGAGGAAAGUGGAAUUCCCGGUGUAGCGGUGAAAUGCGUAGAGAUCGGGAGGAACACCAGUGGCGAAGGCGGCUACCUGGACCAGCACUGACACUGAGGCACGAAAGCGUGGGGAGCAAACAGG
rnacentral:rRNA from 1 species